rnacentral:lncRNA from 1 species
UCCUGAAGCUAUAAUAACUAUUUUUUGUGCACUUGAUGCCUUAAUUGUUGACUUUGGAGGUCCUGAAGCCCUUGGUCCUGAAAUUUCAUGAAUUGCUUUUGGUGGUCCUGAAGCUAUAAUAACUGUUUUUGAUCCACUUGAUGCCUUAAUUGUUGACUUCGGAGGUCCGGAAGCCCUUGGUCCUGAAAUUUCAUGAAUUGAUUUUGGUGGUCCUGAAGCUAUAAUAACUGUUUUUGAUCCACUUGAUGCCUUAAUUGUUGACUUCGGAGGUCCUGAAGCCCUUGGUCCUGAAAUUUCAUGAAUUGAUUUUGGUGGUCCUGAAGCUAUAAUAACUGUUUUUGAUCCACUUGAUGCCUUAAUUGUUGACUUCGGAGGUCCUGAAACCCUUGGUCCUGAAAUUUCAUGAAUUGCUUUUGGUGGUCCUAAAGCUAUAAUAACUGUUUUUGAUCCACUUGAUGCCUUAAUUGUUGACUUCGGAGGUCCUGAAGCCCUUGGUCCUGAAAUUUCAUGAAUUGAUUUUGGUGGUCCUGAAGCUAUAAUAACUGUUUUUGAUCCACUUGAUUCCUUAAUUGUUGACUUCGGAGGUCCUGAAGCCCUUGGUCCUGAAAUUUCAUGAAUUGAUUUUGGUGGUCCUGAAGCUAUAAUAACUGUUUUUUGUGCACAAGAUGGUGGUUUUGGACCUGCAGUUGCAUGAGAUGGUGGUUUUGGACCUGCAGUUACAUCAGAAGAUCUUGGAGGCCCUGAGGUUGUGACCUCUACCUCUGAAGCUGCAACUGCAACUACCAGAACAAUUAGCAAAGCUAAAAAAGCUACAAACACGUUCUUCAUUUUCAAGAAUUGAUGUGUUUUGAUUAUGAUAAAUGGAAGAAAGGUAUUAGGUAUAUAUAGGGAUAGGUGUGCACCAUUGUCAACCUUUGAUGACAUGAGUUGUAGUUUUUGCUAGCUGCCAAAAAAAAAUGGCAAAAGCAUUGGUUUUGUUCGGUUCAUUUUGUCAUUUUCCUUCAAUCAAUACCUUUCAACUCUUGCUACUUUCAUGCACUCAUAGUUCACGUUUAUUUCAUGAACAUGAAUUUUUUUUUAUAUUAGAAGAUUAAAUAAAAUAAUAAUCAUGAAUUAAAAAAUUAGAUAUUGAAAUUAUGAAGAAUUAUAAUUUCAUUUAUCCGAAAAUAUGAUACACUUCAUAGCAAAUUCCGAAGACAUUAUUUGUAUUUACCUUUUUUUUCAUUAAAUAUUAUUGAAAACCUCAAAUAAUUAAAUGUGUGAAUAUAUUAUAACAAGAUAUAAUCUACCUAUUAUGCUAAUGAAAUUUAGUACACAAAUGAUCGAACCGUGAAAUUUCCACUAUCUUUAUUUUCUUUAUCUAUUCACCAGUGAAAACACAGAUUUAUUUGGUGUGUGUUUAAUUAUUAUUUUUCAGUUAUCAAAAUAAAAAUAUUAAUUAAUAAAAUAGCUUUUACAAAAAAAUAAAUAGAUAUGGUGUGAAAGUAAAAAAAUCAUAAAAAAGUUAUAAAAAAUUGUAUAUUAUAUAUAUAUAUAUAUAUAUUUAUUUGUGUGUCUGUAUGGGAUCUAAAUAUUUAGCAUUAUUUAGGAAUUUUAAUUUAGUUCUUAGAGGUAUUAUUUUUUUUAAGUUUCACCGAAAAUGGUGAAGUAUAUAGGUUGUAAAUAUUUAUUAUUCAUAUCCCUGUUUUGUUUCAAUGUCUUUUGUGAUGACGCUGGAAUUUAUUAGAAUUUAUGGUUGUUUUCAGCAUUUAAUUUCUCAUAUUUAUUGUGCGAAACAUGCAGAUGUCAUGCAUUUGAUUUUUAUUUUUACUUUUAAAAUUUUAAAAAUAAUAUGUUUUUUUAAUUAUGCUAGUGAUAUGAAAGAUUUAUUGAAUUUUGUUAGCAUUUAUGGGAUUGUAAUUGGCCUUAAAUAUAAGUUUUAGUUAUUUAAUAAAUUAAAUAUAUUUUAAUAAUGUUAAAUUUUGAAGGAAAAAGUAGUGACGAGAACGAGACAUGGUAAAUAUGUAUAUACUUAUCAUUAUUUUAUAAUUAAUUUAAAAGAAAUACAAAUAUUUACGAUAUAAGUUUCAAAAUCCGUAGACACCUGAGAGAUCAUCUCAGACACCUGAGAGAUCAUCUCAGACACCUGAGAGAUCAUCUCAGACACCUGAGAGAUCAUCUCAGACACCUGAGAGAUCAUCUCAGACACCUGAGAGAUCAUCUCAGACACAUGUAAGAUCAUCUCAGACACCUGUAAGAUCAUCCGCUUGUGUACGUAGUACAGUCAUUGCAGUUCAAACACAGCAAGAAAAGCAAGGGUAAGCUAGUGAAAAUAGAAUUUUAUAAUAUACACAAUUAAAUCAAAAGAGAAAACCAAUGAUCAAUUUCUCAAAUUAUACAAUCUCAAUCACAUAGAUCUCACAUGGAUCUACACAUCCAAGAUAUUCAACAAACAACUUCUUCCGGAAGACCCGUAUUAAGUAAGUCAUACCAGAAACUAACACCUGAUCUAAAGAUUACCAGCGAAUCCAACAGAAAGGAUCAGGGUAAGUUCAAUACAACCCAAGCCGUGCAUCUCAUAUGUCACGGUGUGCAUGAACUCCCCCAUCAGCUUCUCACCACCUGAUAUCUUAGUCUGUUACCACAUAGGCAUCAAUACUUAAUACACAACAAACAUCAGUUCAUACAUUAUCCCAAAUGUAUGAAUUCAAUUCCAUACCAUUCUGUCAUACAAUAUCAUUCAAAAAGUUAUCCACAAUAUUCAAAAGUUUAUUUGACAUAAAAAAAUAACACUUUAAUACUAAAUCAUCAAAACCCAAUAUUUCCACAAAUUUAAAUAAUAUAUAAACAAACAACCCAAUAUAAAUAAACACACAACAUCCCUUCAAGAGAAAUUGAAUAUUGGGACCACGUCCCUUCCACAUUCAGAUCUUCUAUCCUAGGGUGCUAUUAAAAAUUAAAUUUAGCUUCCCUUACCUCAAUUGCUUUUUUUCCAAGCAACUUUUAGAAUUUUAUUCCCCAGUUUGGGCAAGCUUCAACUGAGCCCACCAAGAUUGAUGACUAAAUCCUAGAAAAAACAGAGAACAAAGGAUAUUUAGAGUAAAAAUGAACUUAUAUGAUCAGAUUCUAGAAUAGAUGAAGUUUGGGAGAGAAAAUUAGGAGGGAGGGAGAGAAAAAAAUAUGGAGGGAGAGAGAAAGAAAAAGAAUGGUACUGUGGUGGGAAGAAUUUUUAUUGUAAUUGUCAAACAACUAAUUAUAAAAAUGGAAAGUAAAUGCGCAAUUAAAAAAAUAAUAAAAGAGUUUUAAAGGAGUUUUAAUGGAGUUUAUUUAGCGGCAGUUAAUAUAAUUCUAGAAAUUAAUUUAAUUAACGGAAGUUUUUUUAACAUUCGUUAACUUUCAAAGUUUAUUCUAAAACCUCAUUAAAAUAAUGGAAGUUUUUGUACGUUCGUUAAAUUUCAAAAGUUUAUUUUAAAACCCAGUAAAAUAAUUGAGAUUUUUUUAACCUUCGUUAAAUUCCAACAAAAUUUUAAUAUAGAACCUCAAUAAAACACUUCAAAUUUUUCAAACUUCAAUAAAUAAAUAUAGUUAAAUUUAUUUAUAAAUAAAUAAUUAAAAAUUAUAUAGUUUUAAUAUAUUUUAUAACUAAAUUUUAUAAGAUUUUGAAAGUGUAACUUUACAUUCCAAAUAAGUUUUCUAAAGUUUCAAAAAUUUAUUUUAAAAGUAAAAUAACUUUGAAUAAUAAGUAUUUCAACUACUAAUCUUGGAUAAUAAGUAUUUCAACAGUAUUUGCAUAUUUCUUAUGAUUUUCAUAUUUCUUAUGAUUGAUGAUAGUCGAUUUAUAUAAUUUCUAGUCUUUUUUUACAAGCUCAUUUUUCAAAAAACCUAACUUACGUUUUUUAGAUUUUGAUGUAUGUAUAUUUUAUGUGCAAUUUUAGUUUUAAUUAUAAUUGUUAAAAUUUAAUUCUCAUAAUUUUGAAAUAUAUUAAAUCAAGGCUUUUAUUUUAAAAUGCAUCCAAUAAUUAAUUUACUGUGAAAGUGAGAAGUAAUAAGCUAAUUUAUCCUCGAAAUAUGUUCUUGCAAUCUUUGAAGCCCUUGUAUCCAAUAACACAUAUGGCUUUGAAGCCCACUGUUAAUAUAUUUAAUUUUCUAUUUUAAAUUAUUGGGCUUUGUUUGUUUGACCCAACUUUCCUUUUUCUGUUUCAGCUAGGUCUUAAUCUUUUUCUUAUAUAUACACCAUGUAUUUUACUCUCUAAUAGACAAGUGAAUAAAAGUUUCUUUUAUAUUUAAAAAUAAAAAAAUAAAAUUGGAGAUCCCACAUCGACUAGAGAUUAGAGUCUUUCAUUGUAUAUAAGUGGGUGCAAACCUCAACCCUAUGAGCCGGUUUUAUGGGGUUGAGUUAGGCUUAAAGUCCACUCUUUCCUAAUAUGGUAUCAGAGCCAUUUCGAGCCUAUCCUAGCGAGUGUUUCUGUUGGGCCUAUCGUGCCACCCGCUAUCGGGCCGCUAUCGGACCACCCAAAAUAUAUAGUCUCACGCACGAGUUGGCAGUCUCGGCGUGAGGGGGGUGUGUUGGAGAUCCCACAUCGACUAGAGAUUAGAGCCUUUCAUUGUAUAUAAGUGGGUGCAAACCUCAACCUUAUGAGCCGGUUUUAUGGGGUUGAGUUAGGCUUAAAGUCCACUUUCGUAAUACCCACAUCUAAUAGAUAAUACAAUUAUUUAGGAUAUAUAAAGUUGGGAAAGUAAGGUGAUGGAAGAAGCAAUAUUGGAAUAAGAAGAAUUGACAUUGGUUUGAUAUAUUAAUUUUGAUUUUGAUUAUUUUCUUUUAUACUUUAGCGACUGAAAUAUAAUAUUAUUAUUGAUGUAAAACCUUUUUAUUUUAUUUCACUAAAUAAUUUUUAUAGUAUCUUGAUUUUAGUUCUUAUUUCAAUGUUAAUGUAAUUAAAAUAACAUUACAAUAACAUCUUUUAAAUUUAUCAAUAAUCUUAACAUUUUUUUUAUUUGACUAAGAAUGAUUACAUGAAGGAGUAAUACGUUAUUUUAGUCAUUAAAAUUUCCUUUUAAACUACAAUGUCAUAUAAAUUUUUGUUAUUAAAUAAAAAUUAUUGCAAAAUUAAUUUUAGGAGUAUAGUCACAUUUAAAGAAAAUUUUAGUGAAAUACAAAAAAUAUUGAUUAUGUAAAAAAUAAUAUUUUAUUUCACUCACUAAAAUAUCCAAACAAAUAAUAAAUUAAAAAACAAAUUUUACUAGAAGAAAACAUUUAAUACAAAAUGAUAAAGUUAAAAUUGCUAAUUAGUUAUUAAAUAUAUUACCUAAAUUAGAUAAUAUUUUAGAGAAUAAAAAAAUUAUUAGUAUCUAAUUAGACAUCAAGGAUCUAGUUACCAACUUUAGAAUAUAAAGUAAUUUAUAGCUAUAAUAUAACACUCCAAAAAUACUUUUAACUAUUACUUUACAAGUUCUACGGGUUUCUCUACAAAUUUGGAAUUCUUUCAAAAUAUUCUUAUUAGAAGAUUAUGACUUAUAGAAAUACAAAUAUUUACAAUCUAAGGUUCAAAACAACAUUCUAAAGUCCUUCAAACUCUUCGACACCUAUAUGAUCAUCUACUCGUGUACGUAGUACCGUCAUAGCAGUUUAUAACACCCCAUAAUUUACAUAUAACUAUUAUAAUAAAAGUUCUCCCAGUUUCUAUACAAACUUGGAGUUUUUCAAAACAUUCCUAAUACAUGAUUAGGAUUUAUAGAAAUAUAAAUAUUUACUAUACAGGUUUCAAAAUCAACACCCUAAAGCUCUUUAAACCCUCCGACACCUGUAAGAUCAUCUGCUCGUGUACGUAGUACAGUCAUCGCAGUUCAAACACAACAAGAAAAGCAAGGGUAAGCUAAUGCAAAGAAAAUCCAUAACAUAAUUCAUGGAAAUAGAACCAAUUUAGACUAAUAAUUUAUAAACAUUUCUUUAGUAAUUGCAUGUAAAAUUCCAAUACCAAUUCCAUCAUUCAUAUAGAUCACACAUGGAUCUAUUUUCAAUCACAAUCAUUGGAUUUCAUUUCAAUCCCACUUCGUCUUCCGGAAGACUCAUUAAGUAUGCCCCUACCAGAGACUAACACCUGACCCAAAGAUUACCAGCGAAUCCAAUAGAAAGGAUCAGGGUAAGUUCAAACAUCCAAUACCGAGUGUCUACAGUGGGACCCGGUGUGUAUGAACUCCCUCUCAGCUUCUCACCACCUAAUAUCUUAGUCUACAUGACUUAGAUCAUUAGUGAAGCAAGAGGAUCUCCGUUAAACAUAGGCUUUUCAUACUUAACGUACCAUCAAACAACAACUCAUACAUUAUCCCCAAAUGUAUGACAUCAAUUUCAUACAAUUUACAUCAUUCGUAUAUAAUACAUAUCAUUCAAUCACAUAACAUUUAAAAAUUCAUAUCAUUCCAGAACUUUUCCAACGUCAGAAAAAAUAUUUAACUCUCAAACUAUCAAAAUAUAAUAUUUAUAAAUUUUAAAUAAUAUAUAAGCAAACACACAAUAUAUAAACAAAUAACACCCCUGCAAGAGAAAUUCAAUAUUGGGACCACGCCCCUUCCGCAUUCAGAUCUUCUAUCCUAGGGUGCUAUAAAAAAUUAAAUUUAGGUUCCCUUACCUCAAUUGCUUGCUUUCCAAGCAACUUCAAGAAUUUUGUUCCCCACAGUCUGGAUAAACUCCAAAAUUUACGGGCCUAUUGCAAGUUAUCCAAACAGAAUAAAUAUUCAGUAUAUAGUAGAAUAAGUUGAGAGGAUUAAGCUUCUCAACUGACCCCACCAAGAUUGAUGACUAAAUCCUAAGGAAAAACAGAGAACAAAGGAUCUUUAGAGUAAAAAUGAACUUACUCUGUUUGAAAAUCUGAUCGGGUAGAAAUGUUCCUUAACUCCUCAGCUACAGCGUGGUACAAUCAGAUUCUAAAAUAGAUGAGGUAUGGAGUGAGAAAUUAAGAGAGAAGGUAGAAGGGAGAGAUGGAGGGAGAAAGAAGAAAGAAAAGAAUGGUUUGUGACAGUGGGGGCAAAGUUCUGCUUCUUUAUCCUCUCUUUUUUCUUACGUUGUUACACAGUUCAAAACACAACAAUAAAAGCAAGGGUAAGCUAAUGAAAACAAGUUCCAUAACAUUCUUAAUUCAUCCAAAAAGAACCAUUCAGACUAAUCAUUUAUAAAUAUUUCUCUAAAUGAUGUCAUAUAAAAUUUCAAUAUCAAUUUCAUCAAUCAUAUACACCACACAUAGAUCUAUUUUCAGUCACAAUCAUUGAAUUUCAUUUCAAUCCAUAAUAUUUGAUUUCGUUUCAAUCACACUAACUACACAUGAAUCAAUUGUCUUACGUGAGACUAACAUCUAAUCCAUACAUCAAGGAUUAGGAUAAAUUCAAACAUUUAAUAUCGAGUCUCAUCACCUUAUAUCUUAGUCUAUAUUUCUUAGAUAUCAUUAAGCCUAGAGGAUCUCUGUUAAACAUAGGUUUUUCAUAUUUAAUGUAUAAUGAAAUAAUAACUCCUUUGCUGAUAAAAAAUUAUAAUAAUAAUAACUCAUACAUUAUCUCAAAUUUAUGACAUCAAUUUCAUACAAUUUUCAUCAUUCAUAUAUAAUACAUAUCAUUCAAUCACAUAACAUUUAAAAAUUCAUAACAUUCAUGAACUUUUUCAACAUCAAAAACAAUAUUUAACUUCAAAAAUAUCAAAAUCUAAUAUUUAUACAUGUUCACACUACACAAAAUCAAACAAUUUUAUCAAAUAACAUCCUUGUAAGAGAAAUUGAAACUUGGGACCAUGUCCCCUCCACAUUCAGAUCUUCUAGCCUAGGGUACCAUUGAAAGUUAAAGUUAAUUUCCCUUACCUUAAUUGCUUACUUUCCAAGCAACCUCUACCCUCAGUCUGGAUAAGUUUCAAGAUAUAAGGGCUUAAUGCAAGUUAUGCAAACAAAACAAAAAUUCAGUAUAUAGUAGAAUAAGUUGAGAGGAUUACUCUUCUCAACUGGUCCCACCAAGAUUGAUGACUAAAUCCCAAGUGAACACAGAUAAUAAAGGAUCUUUAGAGCAAAAAUGAACUUACUUUGUUUGAAAAUCUGAUUGAGUAGAAUUGUUCUUUAACUCCUUAGCUACAGCAUGGUGUGAUCAGAGAAAAUUAAGAGAGAAAGAAAAAAAAAAGUUGAGAGAAAGAAAAAAAUGACUUUUUUUCAUGUUCUUACAACUAAAAUCUUUAUAACUAAUUAGAUACUCAUUUAGAAACUAGUUUAUAAAUUAUUAAUAAUAAAAACUAAUUUAGAUACUAAUAAUUUUAAGUAUCUAAAAUAUUAUUUAAUCUAAUGACUAAUUAUUUUUUAUCUCUAAAAUUAUUUUUUAUUUAAUAUUUUUUUUACGUAUAUUGAAUAAUCAUUAUUAAAAAAAUACAAUUAUCAACACUCACUAAAUACAAUGACGUAUAGGGUGUUUUCAUAUCACAUGUCACUAUAAGGUGCAUUUUGUUGGUAUCUCAGUUUGCUUUGAUGGUUUUGAAGUGUGAUGAUGUUAGAAUUUAUUGGUGCUUUAAUUGUUUAAUUGCUCCUAUUUAAUGUUGAUACAUAUAUUUAUUUUUGUUUUAUUUUUAGAGAGAAAAAAACUAACAUAUUUUUUUAUAGUCAUGCAAUUUGUCAACUUUAUCGGAAUCUUCCUUGUUAAUAAUAUUGAGGAUGGUAAUAUUAUUUAUGAAUAUUUAUUAAUUUUUAACUUUUUAUUAGAGUGUUUUCCACAAAUUAAGGUAAAUUAUAAUUGCAUUAUAUUCAUUUUAUUUUGUUUCAAUAUUUUUGAACUCUAAUUAAUUGCCUUUUUUAAUGUGGUCUAAACACUCCUAUUAAAUAUAAAAUAUAGGGAGUGUUAUAUUAUAUCUCACCUUAUUUAAAUUAUUGAGUUUAUGUUGUUUUUUUUGCAAUAUUAUUUAUUGAGUUUAUGUGAUGUUAAAAUUUAUAUUUUUUUCAAGUAUUUAUUUAUUGUAUAUAGUUUUUUUUAAAAAUUACGUAUUCUUGUGUGUGGAGCGAUUUUUAUAAAUUAUAUUUUCUUAUUUUUAUAUGAUUAGCUUAUUACAAUUUGUUCCUAAGAUUUCUAACGGUUGCAGUGGAAUGUCUUCUAAUGGUUAUGACUCUCAAUUUUUUUAUGUAUAUAUACACAAUAAAUUAUAUUUUGUCUUUUUAAAAUUGUAUUUUAAGCUUUUUAUUCUCCCAAAAUUAUUUUUCAUAAAACUUUGUUUAACACCAUAAAAAAAACUACAUCUUUAAUGUAAACUCAAUAAAUGAACUUAAAAAGCAUUUAAUAUUUCAAUAUGAAACUUAAACAUAACAAAAUUAUCACUACAAGAAAAGUUGUAAUAGCUGCCAAAAAAAGUGAGAGUCAAGUAAGGGACAUUAUUUGAUUCAAACCAAUGUUUUUGUUUACAAACGAACCUAAAAAUAAUGAAUGAUGGUAAGUUUCACAUGUGAUAAGAGUAAACACAAAUUUUCUGGAACUGUUUUUCACAUGUUUUGCAAAAACACCUUUACUGCAUAAAAAUAAAUCUGUUCUUUUCUAAAUAAACAGAUUCUUUUUUAAACUGAUGCAUUGACUAAGGCUUUUGAAAAUCAGGUUUUGUUCAUCAAGUAUUUUGACUAAAUCUUCACUUUUUCAAAACGGUUGUGUUUCAAUAGUUAAGUCUUUUCUGUUAUCGUUUUGAAAAAUAAAUUUGUUCAUAAAUAGAUUCUUUUUAGUCUGGUACUAUGUUUAUCUUAAACGGUUUUUUCGUUUUGUCCCUACACCAGAAUGGUUGACUAAGUCUCCUUCACAUAACAAAUUCUCUAACUGCUUUUGAAAAUAAAUCUGUUCAUUUUAUUUUCAAUCUGUUCUUUUUAUAACAGCUUUAACUGUUUUUUUGAAAAUCUGUUAUAAGUUGUUUUUCUAUAAAAAGAAAACUUGUUCCUGCGUUUAGAUAAGAAUCAUACAUUUGAGAAAACAAGUUUUACAUCAGAGAAUCAAGGAUUUACAGAGAAUUAGCAUGUGUUCUUGAAAGAUUUCAAAAAUCAAAAGUGUGCUUGUUCUUGUCUGGUUCUAAAGCUUGGUGAGAGGUGUUGCUACUGUUUGAGCAAUCUGUUCUACUGGUUUAAGGCAGAUUUCUGCAUCAUCUAUCAAGUGUAUUCGUUUCAUAUUUCUUUUCUUAUAAAAGUGUGAUUGUAAACUCUUCUUGAUAGGGUUUCUUGAAGAGUGUGUGUGCUGAAAUAGUGUUUUUGAACAAGUGUGUCAAGUUUCUUGUAGGUUCAAGAACAGUGGCCGUGUAACUGUGUUUGGUACAUUUUGUUUAGUGGAUUUCACCUUGGAUUAGGUGAGACUGGAUGUAGCUCAGUUGAGUGAACCAGCAUAACUGUUGUGUGUUCAUCUCUCUUCAUCCCUGCACUCGAAUUCUUGCAUUUCUCCUAAACUGCCAGAAAUUGAAUCUUUUCAAUUGAAAAUAAAUCUGUUCUUUCUAGGUUGGUUCAUACAGUUUGGUUCUGUGAAGAAGAUAUAUGAUCUGUUAAAUACAACUGGAACAGGUUGAUUGUGAUAGGUUACCCAAUUGAUUGUCAAGCCAAUAAUUGAACCUUAAUCACUUGCUUAAAAUUGAAGAUUAUUGUUUUUGUUGUUCAUGGUUUUCUCCGUAAUAUUAGUGUGUGGCUUGCAAAUUAAUCUGCAUAAUUUCAAAAAUAACUUGGAUAUAAAUGUUUUCAAACAUAAACAGUGUCAAAAUAAAUCUGUUCAUUUCCAAAUUAAAUCGAUUUAUUUUCUGUGUACUGUGAUAGAAUCUGAUUCUGCGCAAAACUAUUAAAAGGUCAAUUCACCCCCCAUCUUUAACUUUGACACUAUUGAACCCAACAUUAUAGACAACACUUAUUAAAAUGUGGGUGUUGUAAACAACAUUUUAGGCCAAAUUUUAUAAAUUGUGGGUAAUUUAGACAAUACUUAUUAUUUGUUUGGAUUUAAUAAAUCAUAUGCGUAGAAGCAAAAACCUAGUCACACUGAACUAGGUCAGACUUAUAUAAUUGUUCCUUAAACAUAGAAAAGACAAUGAUUUUAAAAAUGUAGUGUGAGAACUAGCAAAGACCACGUUUGUAAAAUUGUUAGUUAUUUACAAGUACAAUUUUUUAAGUAUUUUCUUUAGAAUAUGUAAGCUAAACAAUAAAAUUCUCGCAAAAAAGUGGUCACAUCCAUUUAAUUGUGGCAUAAAAGUGGAAAAGACAACAUUUUUACAAAUGUGGCUUAUGAAUCACUAUAUAACAAUAUUAUUAUUAAUAGUAAUAAAAAUAUUAAAAAUAGUAAUAAUAUUAUUAUUAUCAAUAACAACAAUAAUAAUAAUCAAAAUAAGAAUAAUAAUAAUAAGAGUAGUUAUAGGUUUUAUGUUUACUCAUAAGACCUAGGUUUGAUUCCCUAUAACAAAUAGUAAUGUAAAUGCAACACUUAAAAAAUCAUUUCCUAAACAUUAACAUAAAAGUGUUGUCUAUUCUACCAGUAUAAGACAACGAUUUUGAAAGCGGUCACAAGAAAAAAAGGUUGCUUAUAACCUAAGUCCACAACUGAAAAACCAUUAUCAAAUUGUUUUUCCUAAAACUAAGACAACAUUUUUUUUUCCUUUAGACAAUAUUUUUAAAUUUUUUGUCUAAACUUUGUGUAGUGAAGAAAGACAUUAUUCGAUCUAGUCUAAUGACACCAUUCACCAUUGUUCAAACUAAUGUACUUUUUAAUUUGAAAUGUUUUAAAAGAUUCAGUGGUAGGUUUCAAAAAUUAUAACUCUAAACAUUAAACUAAAAAAAUAUAAAAGAAAAACAAAAAUAGAUAAAAAUCAUAAAGAGCACACUAAAAAGCUUAGCCACAAUGGUAUACAAAGCAUAUAUAAAAUAUGAUAAAUAUGAAAUAUAAAUAUAGUAUAUGCGCAGUAAUAAUAAAUGAAUAAUAUCUUUAUACAAUAAAUUUCAAAUUUUGUUAAGGUCAUGAAGUGUGCUUAGGGACCCUUGUAUCUGGUAUAUUUGUAUUAUCUGUUUUAUCUGUGAAGUUGCAUUUACACAUGCAAGAUUUUAACCCUUAAGAAACAUAUGCAAUGAUUGAUGCUUAUCUGGUUUUAAUAAUUCAGUUACACGUGUAAAUGCUAGCUAAAUGGGAGGUAUGUAUAUAAGGAUGGGGACACUCUGAUGUGUCCCAUUUUCAAUUUAAUUUAUUUUUUGUUGAUAAAAAAGCAAUAAAUUUCAAACAUCAUUAUUAAAAUGAGUAAUGUAACAUAAUAAAUAAUUAUUUGUCUUUCACAGAGACCAUAAGUUAUAAUGUUACUGAUAUAUUAUAACUUCAAAUUUAGUUUUUUCUAAUUUAUUAUACUUAUUAUCAUUUAUUGGUUUACAUUUGAUUGUCUCACAAGUGAACUAAUGAGACAAUUAGACACGUUAAAUAUGGUUAGAGAAUAAACUCAUACUCAUUCAUUUUGGUGGUUCUCUAUGAUGAAAGUUAAGUGAAAAAAAUAAUUGUAUAAUGCUUAUUUUCUCAUGUUGAGAAAAGGCUAAGUUAAUUUUUGGUGUGUAUUAUUCUAUUAUUAUAGCUUCUUCUUCAUUACACACAAUUAAUCUAUGUGACAAAGAUGUAGAUCAAGGCACAUAAAAUAUUUAAAAAGUUAUAUAUUAUUUGUAACUCAAAUGUUCAUUUCAUAUAUAUUUUCAAACAACUAUUUUAUUUUUUAAGAAACUAACUUUCGAACGUCGUUAUUUACAAUAUAUUAUUAUCUUCUUUGCUUUUAGUUGCUUUUGGUGGUCCUAAAGUUGUAAUUUAAGCUUUUGGUGGUCCUGAAGCUAUAAUAACUGUUUUUUGUGCACUUGAUGCCUUAAUUGUUGACUUUGGAGGUCCUGAAGCCCUUGGUCCUGAAAUUUCAUGAUUUGUUUUUGGUGGUCCUGAAGCUAUAAUNNNNNNNNNNNNNNNNNNNNNNNNNNNNNNNNNNNNNNNNNNNNNNNNNNNNNNNNNNNNNNNNNNNNNNNNNNNNNNNNNNNNNNNNNNNNNNNNNNNNNNNNNNNNNNNNNNNNNNNNNNNNNNNNNNNNNNNNNNUGACUUCGGAGGUCCUGAAGCCCUUGGUCCUGAAAUUUCAUGAAUUAUUUUUGGUGGUCCUGAAGCUAUAAUAACUGUUUUUGAUCCACUUGAUGCCUUAAUUGUUGACUUCGGAGGUCCUGAAGCCCUUGGUCCUGAAAUUUCAUGAAUUGUUUUUGGUGGUCCUGAAGCUAUAAUAACUGUUUUUGAUCCACUUGAUGCCUUCAUUGUUGACUUCGGAGGUCCUGAAGCCCUUGGUCCUGAAAUUUCAUGAAUUGAUUUUGGUGGUCCUGAAGCUAUAAUAACUGUUUUUUGUGCACAAGAUGGUGGUUUUGGACCUGCACUUACAUGAGAUGGUGGUUUGGGACCUAAAGUUACAUCAGAAGAUCUUGGAGGCCCUGAGGUUGUGACCUCUACUUCUGAAGCUGCAACUGCAACUACCAGAACAAUUAGCAAAGCUAAAAAAGCUAC